rfam:Lewinella sp. 4G2 scaffold26_cov53_read170, whole genome shotgun sequence.
GGGCCCAUAGCUUAGUGGAUAGAGCACCUGACUUCUAAUCUGGCGGUCGCAGGUUCGAAUCCUGCUGGGCUCA